rnacentral:rRNA from 1 species
CCUACGGGAGGCAGCAGUGAGGAAUAUUGGUCAAUGGACGCAAGUCUGAACCAGCCAUGCCGCGUGCAGGAAGACGGCCCUAUGAGUUGUAAACUGCUUUUGUACGAGGGUAAACGCAGAUACGUGUAUCUGUCUGAAAGUACCGUACGAAUAAGGAUCGGCUAAAUCCGUGCCAGCAGCCGCGGUAAUACGGAGGAUUCAAGCGUUAUCCGGAUUUAUUGGGUUUAAAGGGUGCGUAGGCGGUCGGAUAAGUUAGAGGUGAAAUCCCGAGGCUCAACUUCGGAAUUGCAGCGGAUACUGUUCGGCUAGAGAGUAGUUGCGGUAGGCGGAAUUUAUGGUGUAGCGGUGAAAUGCUUAGAGAUCUUACAGAACACCGAGUGCGAAGGCAGCUUACC